rnacentral:rRNA from 1 species
GACGAACGCUGGCGGCGUGCUUAACACAUGCAAGUCGAACGGAAAGGCCCUUUCGGAGGUGCUCGAGUGGCGAACGGGUGAGUAACACGCAGGUGAGUUGCCCUGCCCUCUGGGAUAAGCCUGUGCAACUGGGUCUAAUACCGGCUAGGACCGCACUUUAGUGUGUGUGGGGGGAAGUUUUUGCGGUGUAGGAUGGGCCGGGGCCUAGCAGCUUGCUGGUGGGGUGAUGGGCUACCAAGGAGGCGGGGGGUAGCCGGUCUGGGAGGGUGGGCGGCCACAUUGGGACUGGGAUACGGCCCAGACUCCUACGGGAGGCAGCAGGGGGGAAUAUUGCACAAUGGGCGCAAGCCUGAUGCAGCGACGCCGCGGGGGGGAAGACGGCCUUCGGGUUGGAAACUCGUUUCGCCAGGGACGAAGCGUUUUGUGACGGUACCUGGAGAAGAAGCACCGGCUAACUACGUG